AAAUAAUAGCCUAUUUCAAACGCCAGAUAAGGAUAAAUAAAUAAGGAUAUAAACAGGAAAUCCAGUUUUAUGAAGUGGAAGCAUUUGUUAUGAUUCGGAAUUUCCAAUUUCUGUGAUUUCCAAAUGUGUUUUGUGAUUUCCAAAUGUGUUUUGUGAUUCCAAAUGUGUUUUGUGGUUUCCAAAUGUGUUUUGUGAUUCCAAAAGUGUUUUGUGAUUUCUAAAUGUGUUUUGUGAUUCCAAAAGUGUUUUGUGAUUUCUAAAUGUGUUUUGUGAUUCCAAAUGUGUUUUGUGAUUUCUAAAUGUGUUUUGUGAUUUCCAAAUGUGUUUUGUGAUUUCCAAAUGUGUUUUGUGAUUCCAAAUGUGUUUUGUGUUUUCAAACGUGUCAUAAAAAAAGAAAAUUGUGUGUUUUGGGUAAAAAUGUAUCAGAAUAGUGUAAAAAUGAUAAAGAAACGUAAUUUUUGUUUUGCUUUGUUUGUUUUGUGUUUUGCACUUCUGGGCCACCGUAAUUAUAUGUACAUGAAACAACACAUACGGAUUUCAACUUUCAAGGCAAUUUUCUGUUUUUGAAUGUGCUGGCAAAAUGUAUUAAUAUUACUUUGACAUUACAACUCAGAAAUCGUGUUUGUAUUUUGUACUGGCCAUACCUUUCGGCUUUCGCUGAACAUAACUUCGGCCACGUAAUGUGACCUUUAGAAUCGGUUUCCGUGUGGUUUCCAGAGUGGCCAGCAGGACAGCAUUGUUUCGACAAUCAACUUAUAUUUCCGGUUGAAGCUCCCACUAAAAAUUUAGAUAUUCUGAAAUACCGAAAUAAAAGAUGCAAAUCUGUAGAUACAAGCUUGAAAAUAACACUCUGAAUAGCGUUUUGGAUUGUGAUUCGAACAAGACUAUUACGAAAAAAAUAUGUUGAAACUUGAAAGCUAGGGGCCGAAGUUCAGCGAAAGGUUAUGCCUUGGUAAUACAUUGACAUUGACUAAUUGUCAUUGUUUACAUUGAUCGUGAAAAUUGUGUGAAAUGUGGUAUUGCUUGACUCUAAAGAUCGUAAAUCGCUAUAAUGUUCAUGUUGACAUUUUUACUUUUUAUAUAGAAUACUAACACAGUUUGGAUAGUAUUUGAAGAAGAAUACGAGGUAUUUCGUCAUUUAAUCAAAGACAACAAAUAUGAAAACAAUAGUUCGUUUCAUCUCAUGUUUAUGACCAGUAAAUUUAUGUUUCUUUUUAUCUAUUAACAAAAACAGAAAUUUUCAGGGAAAAAUUAUGAAUCUGGCUGCUUUAGUUGUAUUUUUUAUUUAGGAUGGUGUCAAAUUUCUCCUGGCUAUCUGCAAAUAAAAUUUGCGGCUCUUCACAAGGAAAUCUUUAGUAAAAGGCGAAAGAUUUAUAUGUGCAUGCAGGAGAACGACAGUUAGUUCACGAAAAUAUAAAAGGUUUCAGUGUUUGCACACACGGUUUCAUAAUAAUAAAU